rnacentral:rRNA from 1 species
AUUGAACGCUGGCGGCAAGCCUAACACAUGCAAGUCGAACGAGUGGCGGACGGGUGAGUAAUGUCUGGGAAACUGCCUGAUGGAGGGGGAUAACUACUGGAAACGGUAGCUAAUACCGCAUACCCUCGGAUGUGCCCAGAUGGGAUAAGCUAGUAGGUGGGGUAAAGGCUACCCUGGGCGACGAUCCCUAGCUGGGCUGAGAGGAGGACCAGCCAAACUGGAACUGAGACACGGUCCAGACUCCUACGGGAGGCAGCAGUGGGGAAUAUUGCGCAAUGGGCGCAAGCCUGAUGCAGCCACGCCGCGUGAAUGAAGAAGGCCUUCGGGUUGUAAAGUACUUUCAGCGGGGAGGCGUGACCCGCAGAAGAAGCACCGGCUAACUCCGUGCCAGCAGCCGCGGUAAUAC